rnacentral:lncRNA from 1 species
UCACUUUAUGGCUUAGCUGGCCAAUAAUUUCUCUAAUCUUUGCCAUCUUUCAUAUGAAAUUAAGAGUCAUCAUUCAAGACCUCUAUGGCUGCCACCGAAAUGGUUAUUAGUAUUAUCCAAAAAUCAUCCACCUAAUUUCUUAAUCAAUUCAUUAAUCCCCACUAACCCAAUAAUUAAUCAAUUAUUCACGUAAUUAAGAAUUAUCUCGAAUUUCUUAAAAUACUACUCACUGUUAACACACCUUAUAUAUUUUACUAACAUUUGUCUUGUAGUACCUUGUAUAGCACUAGUCCAUAAAUACCGGGUAUUUUAGCUUGGGCCGUACUUUACCCCAAAAUGCUAAACUUGGACAAAUUUUAUUUUCUUUGACUUGCUUCCCCUUUCACCUUCGUGUAUUUACUAAUCGCUUGUGAUAUAGCAUUCCUUAUUAUCUCCAAAUAGUCUUUUACUUGAACAGUUGUCAAUUAUUUUACGACAAAUUUAACGUACAAUGCAUUAGGG